UCUCUGUCCCAAAAAUAAAUAAAAAACGUUGAAAAAAAUUAAAAAAAAAAAGAAAAUGAAUAUUCAGAUAUUAACACUAAAUUCAAAAGAAUGAUAUAUCUGUUUUAUUUAAACUCCAAGGGUGGUCCUGGACCAGCAGCAUUACCUGGGAGGAAUACAUAGGAUCUCAGGCCCACCCUAGACCUGAGGAAUCAGAAUCUAAGGGUGGGGCUGCAUUUUGAAUAUUGCAUUUCAUCAUUAUUGUCUAAUCAGCUGACAUUGAUGAAGAACAAGGGACUUGAGUGGUCCUUGUGCCUCAAAAUGACAACUGGACCUGAUUCAGGACUUCUCUCAUCUGUGAACUAUAGGGAUUAUUUCAACCAAUGGUGAGCAGAUGUCAAUCUCAUUCUAUUCCACCCAGUGUUCCUUUUUAGUCCUUACUUAGGUCCUUUAACUACCCCCAGAAAUCUCCUACCUCCCGUCUAGCUUUUAUCCCUGGUUUUCUACACAGCAAUAACUAACUGAUACAAUGUCCCCUAUGAAAGCUUCAUCAAAAUAAUUAUAAAGGCUUACCCAAAAAAAUAUCUUGGGAGAGGAUAUAAAAAACAUCUUGUUAAGAGGCUUAUUCUAAAGAAUGAUUCUCAGCCCUGGCUGCAUAUCCAAAUUACCUGUUAGCUUUAAAAAUUCUGAUAUACAAGGAUCCCUCCAAACAAUUUAAGUCUGAAUCUCUGAGGGUGCAAUGUAGGCGUUAGUCUUUUUCUAAAAGUUGUCCAGAGGAUGAUUCCAAUAUGCAGCCAUUGUGGAGAACCAACGAUCUAAAGUCUGGUUUAAUUACCACUCCUCCUCUAUGCAACUCAGCCUAUGCAGCCAUAUUUGACACUCGUGGUCUUAGAAGUUCAAGUGAAUGAAACACAGGACUUCCUAGUUUGGAAAGUCUCAUAAUCUCUUUAUGUCACAUGGAGGAACAUUUUAAGCAGAGACAAAUGGAUUCUAAAUGCACUUUAGGAAUUAAGUUCUUAUCACUAGCUUCAGACGCAUCAAAGUUGGCAAAUCAAAAGUUAGCCAUAAUACUCAUGUUUCAUUUUCUCUUCUUACUAAUUUGGUGACUCCCCCCCCCCCCCAAAUGUGUUGAGGUACAUUCCCUAUCUGCCCCUUUAUUUUAUCAGUAGGAAAAUGAUCUCACAUUUCAGUGAGACUCAGAGUCCUGUAGACAGUUUGGGAUUGACUUUUAAAUUGGAAUGCCAGGUUAAAUAUUUGUUCCGAUCUCUCAACCUAACACAGUCUUUUGGGGAAAAACAUCCAUUUUUAACAACUCUUCUGGCCAUAAGACUGUUGUUUAUAUUUAACCCAAAUCCCUCUAGCAGCUGAACAGUUCAUCUCUCCUCUUGAAGAGGAAUUCUUGAUUACAGUUCCACAAUCCCAGGUGCGCUUUGGAAUCUGAAAUUUGUGGAGUGUAGAAAGGUAAUGCAGUGCAUAUAUGGCAAAUCAUAUCCCAUCUCCAGGGAGUUCUAAAGCAGCAUCCUGUAACAAACAUAUUUAAAUCUGUGCAAAUGAAACAUAAAAAUUCACAGCAAGCAUGAUGAAUAGACAUUAUAAACAGUCUUAUGUGAGUUCUGAUUUUGUCAUUAAAUUUAGGAGAAAUUUUACUUUUCAGAGCUUUUUCUAUCUGGGCAUUAAGGAUAAGAGAUUGUAGACUGCAAGUUCCUGCAAAAAAAUAAAAUUGAGUGAACUUCAAUUGGGAAAGGCUGAAGGGGAAACAAAUGAACAACAGCAGUGGUAUAUGCUGCAAGAGCACAUUUAACAGAUUUCUUCCCACAAACAAACUGGAUUUGGAAUGAAAAUUGUCUGCGGCCAGACUCAGAGUCCCAACCAGGAGACCUUGCAAUAAAAAGGUACUGAUUUGGAUUGGGAGUUGGGUUUUUAGGGAGAGACAGAAGAAGGGAAAUAAUAACAAGUCUUGGGAGUGUCUAGAAAUGGCAUCUUGUAUGUGGGCUAAUUAUUUUCAAUGAUGAGUCAUCCCCCAAGCAGUUCACAGCUGGCUCCCUUUUAGUUCUCCAUUUUAAAAUUCAUCUACAUCAGUGCAAUUAGUGGUGAGUUGUUCAGGAUGUCUUGGCCCACCCUUGGACAGACCCAUUGUUCCUGGAGCUUUUUAGAAAUCUCAUGGCUUCUCUUCAGAUCUUCUGAUUUUGCAUCCAAAAUGCUUGGGUCUUGUCUUUUCCUUGACUGUUUUCUCUUGACAGGGAGAAGGAAGGGAUCCCUUGGGUCUCCUUUCAUUAUUGAAUUGGCUUUGGCUCAAGGAACCUAAUAGAUGGAGAUUCAUCCACAUCGUCUUGAUGGCUGCAGUGUCACUGUUUUCAUUGCUGUGUAGGGCUCUCUUGUAUGUUCUGCCAUUUAAACCUUCUACCACGGCGGUCUUUUGGCUUCUGACUGCUCUGGGCUGCUAGGACUAGUGCUGCUUGAAGCAUUCUGGAGUCUGUUUAACCUCUGAACACAAAAGGUAUUAUGGAAGAAAUAUGUAUUUAUUCAGUUUCACUUGUCACAAGGAAGAAAAAGCAACCACUUCCCUGUACUUUGCUAAAAGGCAUGUUUUCUACAAAACAAUUCUAGAAGUCAAAAAGGAAAGUUUCCAUUUAUUCUUUCAUUUUUUGCAUUACAGAUACAAUCUUGAGAUUAAUAAACUCCAUCUGAGCAUCCUU